CCAAUAGCGUAUAUUAAAGUUGUUGCAGUUAAAAAGCUCGUAGUUGAAUUUCGGGGUUAGUAGGUUGGUCAUGCCUCUGGUAUGUACUGAUCUCACUGAUUCCUCCCUCUUGACGAACUGUAAUGUCAUUAAUUUGGUGUUGCAGGAACUCAGGCCUGUUACUUUGAAAAAAUUAGAGUGUUUAAAGCAGGCUAAGGCUUGAAUACAUUAGCAUGGAAUAAUGAAAUAGGACGUUUGAUCCUAUUUUGUUGGUUUCUAGGAUUGACGUAAUGAUUAAUAGGGAUAGUUGGGGGCAUUAGUAUUCAAUUGUCAGAGGUGAAAUUCUUGGAUUUAUUGAAGACUAACUACUGCGAAAGCAUUUGCCAAGGAUGUUUUCAUUAAUCAAGAACGAAAGUUAGGGGAUCGAAGACGAUCAGAUACCGUCGUAGUCUUAACCAUAAACUAUGCCGACUAGGGAUCGGAUGAUGUUAAUUAUUUAAUGACUCAUUCGGCGCCUUACG
rnacentral:rRNA from 1 species